AGCUCCAAUAGCGUAUAUUAAAGUUGUUGCAGUUAAAAAGCUCGUAGUUGGAUUUCUGGUUGCGGGUUCCUGGUCCGGUGGUUACCUUAGGGUGCUGCUGUGUAUCGGUGUAGCCCCAAUCAUCCUUCCACGUCGUUUCGGUCUACUCUUCAUUGAGGUCGGACCUGAAGCCGUGGAUCGUUUACUUUGAACAAAUUAGAGUGUUCCAAGCAGGCAUAACCGCUUUGAAUACAUUAGCAUGGAAUAAUAAGAUAGGACUCUGGUUCUAUUUUGUUGGCUCCGAACGAGAGUAAUGAUUGAUAGGGCCAGUUGGGGGUGCUCGUAUUGAACGGCCAGAGGUGAAAUUCUUGGAUUCGUUCAAGACGAACUACUGCGAAAGCAUUCGCCAAGGAUGGCUCCU
rnacentral:rRNA from 1 species